rnacentral:rRNA from 1 species
AGGGAAAAGCUCAAAUUUAAAAUCUGGCGGUCCUUGCGGCCGUCCGAGUUGUAAUUUAGAGAAGUGUUACCCGCGCUGGACCGUGUACAAGUCUCCUCGAACGGAGCAUCAUAGAGGGUGAGAAUCCCGUCCAUGACACGGACUACCAGGGCUUUGUGGUGCGCUCUCGAC